rnacentral:rRNA from 1 species
CCGACACAGGUGGGUGGGAUGAGUAUUCUAAGGCGCGUGGAAGAACUCUCUUUAAGGAACUCUGCAAAAUAGCACCGUAUCUUCGGUAUAAGGUGUGGUUCGCUUCGUAUUAGGAUUUACUCCGAAAGCGAAGAAACUUACAACAAAGAGUCCCUCCCGACUGUUUACCAAAAACACAGCACUCUGCUAACUCGUAAGAGGAUGUAUAGGGUGUGACGCCUGCCCGGUGCUCGAAGGUUAAUUGAUGGGGUUAGCAUUAGCGAAGCUCUUGAUCGAAGCCCGAGUAAACGGCGGCCGUAACUAUAACGGUCCUAAGGUAGCGAAAUUCCUUGUCGGUUAAAUACCGACCUGCAUGAAUGGCGUAACGAGAUGGGAGCUGUCUCAAAGAGGGAUCCAGUGAAAUUGUAGUGGAGGUGAAAAUUCCUCCUACCCGCGGCAAGACGGAAAGACCCCGUGGACCUUUACUACAGCUUGACACUGCUACUUGGAUAAGAAUGUGCAGGAUAGGUGGGAGGCUUUGAGUAU